CGGACGACGCUGGCGGCGUGCUUAACACAUGCAAGUCGAACGGAAAGGCCUCUUUCGAGGGGUGCUCGAGUGGCGAACGGGUGAGUAACACGUGGGUGAUCUGCCCUGCACUUUGGGAUAAGCCUGGGAAACUGGGUCUAAUACCGGAUAGGACCACGGCAUGCAUGUGCUGUGGUGGAAAGCUUUUUGCGGUGUGGGAUGGGCCCGCGGCCUAUCAGCUUGUUGGUGGGGUGAUGGCCUACCAAGGCGACGACGGGUAGCCGGCCUGAGAGGGUGUCCGGCCACACUGGGACUGAGAUACGGCCCAGACUCCUACGGGAGGCAGCAGUGGGGAAUAUUGCACAAUGGGCGCAAGCCUGAUGCAGCGACGCCGCGUGGGGGAUGACGGCCUUCGGGUUGUAAACCUCUUUCACCAUCGGCGAAGCUCCCGGAUAUUUCCGGGAGUGACGGUAGGUGGAGAAGAAGCACCGGCCAACUACGUG
rnacentral:rRNA from 1 species